UUUGGGCUUCUAAUCAUCUUCAUAUUUGCUGUUUUACUUGUAGAAGAGGUGAUGUUAACCAGAAAAGAAGCUCGUCCACACUCUGUAGUGUUUAGUUUUAUGCUGUGAUUAACAUAGGAUUAGGUGUUUAAAUCACCAAGAGGAUAAUAUAAUGUCAGUUAAUAAAAAGCGUUGAACAUUUUAUGGGAAAGAUCUAAUUUGGCAUCUCUCAAUAAACAUGACAUUUCGAUGUCUUCACUUGUUGCCUUGGACCAGUGUCAAUCACGUAAAGUCCGAUCCCAGCUAUAUGAU